rnacentral:rRNA from 6 species
UUAAAUUGAAGAGUUUGAUCAUGGCUCAGAUUGAACGCUGGCGGCAGGCCUAACACAUGCAAGUCGAACGGUAGCACAG